GUUUUAGCCUCCACACAUUUUGCUGCCCUUAGUUGCCAAAGUUGAACCAUAUCCUUCCUUGUCUCAUCGCAGAAAGCAUCCCCCCAACACCAUCAUCGAUAUCACAACACUUUCAUCCUAAUCCUAAUCCCAAGCGAGAAAAAAUGGCUGAUGCUGCUGUUAGUGCUACUAUUAAGGUUGCAUUGCAGGCGGUUGUUUCUCUUGCCGCUGAUCAUCGUGAAUUCCCAGAGGAGCUGGAGAGACUCGACAAAUCUGCUGCAAUGAUUCGAGGCUUCUUGGCUGGUGCCGACGAGGACAAGCAUAGCUCAGACGUGAAAAAUUGGCUCAAGCAGCUGGAAGAAGAGGUUUUCAAAGCUGACAAUGUGCUGGACGAGCUCAACUAUGACAAUCUUCGUCGGAAGGUGAAGUAUCAAAAUCAACUCACGAAAAAGAAGGUAUUCUUCUGCUUUUCAUUCUUUAAUAAAAUUGGUUUUCGUUGGAGGUUGGGUUCAAUGAUCAGGGAGAUCAACACGAACCUUCAAAGGAUCCGUCGGGAUGCAGAAGGUUUGGGACUGGCCUACAAGCACCAAGUUGAAGAAGCAUUCCCUACUAUUGCUGCUGGAGCCACAACAAGCCGACAGACCGACUCUACUAUUGUUCGAAGAGAUGUUCUAGGAAGAGACGAGGAUGAAUCAGAAAUAGUUAAGAAGUUGUUGACCGAAUCUGAAAGUGUUAUUUCAGUUAUUCCCAUAACUGGCAUGGGUGGUUUAGGAAAAACAACUCUAGCAAAAGCCGUUUACAAAAAUGAACAAAUUGUUGGACAAUUUGACAAAAAAAUGUGGGUUUGUGUGGCUGAAGAAGUAGAUAAAAUCGAGAAGGUCUUCAAAAUGAUUCUUGAAUCGUUAACAGGAGGAAAGGUUGAAGGGGAUCGUAGGGAGGUAAUAGUUCAAAAAAUUCAGCAUGAACUCAAGGAAAAAAGAUAUUUCCUUGUUCUUGAUGAUUUGUGGAAUGAUCAAGAAGUAUUGUUGAAUGACUUUUUCAGCACUUUGGCGGGACUCAAUGCGAAGAAAGGGAGCUGGUGUCUUGUUACCACUCGUCUGCAAGAAGUGGCAACUAUUCUGUCUAGACAUCCGCAGAUCAAUUUUACUCGCCAUGAGCUGGGAAAGCUAUGCGAUAAUGAUUGCUGGUCUAUCAUGAAAAAAUGGGCAAAUGUAGGGGAAGAAUUACCAAAAGAAUUGGAAGACAUGAGGGAGCAAGUUUUAAGAAGAUGUGACGGUCUACCUCUGGCAGCAACGUUAAUUGGAGGUUUGUUAUCUAAAAAGAGAAAAGAGGAUUGGCUAUCUAUUUUGGAGGAGAGUCUCUUGAAUGGCAAUCAAGGUGGGAUCAAGCAAAUACUUAAGGUGAGUUUUGAUCAUCUGUCACCUGCACCGGUUAAGAAAUGCUUUGCAUAUUGCUCAAUUUUUGAUCAAGAUACUGAAUUGGAACAAGAUCGACUAGUUGAGCUUUGGAUGGCUGAAGGCUUUCUUCAACCGGAUCCCCAAAAUGAAAGAAUGAUGGAGAAAAUAGGAUGUGAGUAUUUGAGAAUUUUGCUGCAAACUUCCUUAUUGGAAGAAGUAAAAGAGGAGAGGAGAACAUGGUAUAAAAUGCAUGACCUUGUGCAUGAGUUUGCAAAAUCAAUUUUGAAUCGUAGCAGCAGCAAUGAGGACCGCUACCUUUCAUUAUACUCAUCCGAAAGAAUGUUAGAAAACAUGAACGAAAAAAAAUCAGCAUCACUUCGCACAUUAUUUCUGAAGGGUGGCAUAGCUGAUGAAAUAUUAUCAAAGUUCAAACACUUGCAUGUCCUAAAAUUGUCUGGAGAAGAUGUCAAAGAGUUGCCGACCUCCAUUGGCAAACUAAUCCACUUACACUUACUUGACAUUUCAGAUUCGAUGAUUACAACUUUGCCAGAAUCUCUUUGCGAACUUUAUAGUUUGCAAACACUAAGAAUUUACGCGCUUGAAAAAGGUUUUCCAAAGAAGAUGAGCAAUUUGAUUAGCAUGAGACAUCUUCACUAUUUUCAUUAUCGUUAUGAUAAAGGAUGCAAAAUCCAGAUGCCAUCCAGUAUUGGACGAUUGACUUGUCUUCAAACAUUAGAGUUCUUUAACAUAGGUCGUCAGGAGGAAGGUCGUGGUAUCCAAGAACUUGGGACCUUGCAAGAUCUUAAAGGCACCUUGGAGAUCAGAAAUCUUGAAUCAGUAAAUGGCAAAGAUGAUGCAGAACUAGCGAACCUAUCUAAAAAGCCACAUAUGUAUCGGUUGGUAUUUGAGUGGGGCAAUAGGGAUCGAGAAAGUGAUAAUUGUGAUGAAGAUGUGUUGGAAGGCCUCCAACCUCACCCAAAUUUAAAAGAGUUACAAAUUUUGAAGUUCAUGGGUGAUCAGUUCCCACAAUGGUUCAUGAAUUUGACAUCACUGGUGGAGUUGCGUGUGGCGAAUUGCACAAGAUGCAGAGAACUCCCCACCCUAGGACAGCUGUCAUCCCUCCAACAUCUAUAUCUGACUGGAUUGGAAAACAUAAGAAGCAUUGGGCUUUCAUUCUACAGUACAAGUGCUGAGGAGGACGGCGGAUCAGGAGGUUCAGGCACUGUUAGCAGACAAACAUUCUUUCCAGCCCUUAAAAUUCUCUCACUUGAAAGCAUGGAAAAUUUGGAAGAGUGGAAGGACGCACACGAAAUAAGGUCAACCGCAGGUGAAGUACAUGUGAUGGAUGUGUUUCCCAUGCUUGAAGAGUUGUAUAUUAGCCAUUGCCCCAAGCUGACCACCAUUCCAACUCCAAGUCGUUUCCCAAGUCUUGAUGUAUUGAAAAUAAAAAAGAAUUGCCAUGUUUUGCUGGCAGAAAAGGUUUUGAGCAAUAUGGCCAAUCUCUCAUCCCUUGAAUUAUGGGAUCUUGGUGGUCAACGCAUCGAGUCUCUAAAAUUAGUGAAACGACCAGAGAGCAGCUUGAGUAUUGAAGGCUGUAACAGUCUACCCACUGACAUGCUUGAGCGACUCUGUCUUUUUCCAACUCUUCAGCGUGUAGAAUUGAGGCUUGCCGCUAAUAUAACAACAUUAAGAGGAAUGAGUUGCGCCGCUUGUCUUAAGAGAUUGGUAGUCUUUUGCUGUGACAAUUUACGGGAGUUGCCAGAAGAUCUUUAUCAAUUUCAAGCUUUAGAGUACUUGCUGAUACAAGGGUGCCCGAGAAUUAAUUCAUUUGGAUAUCCAAAUCCUAAUUCAUUUGGACAGAAAGGCCUCCUUAAGUCUCUUGAGGAAUUUACUAUCGAAGGGUGUGAUGCAUUAACAAGAUUACCAGCGGAGAUGUUCGAGUCGUGUACGUCUCUCCGAGAGCUGAAUUUGUUCGGUUGCCCCAGUCUGGUCUCCUUUCCCCUUGAUUUGCGACGAACCCCUUCUCUCGAGAGCUUCAUUUUAGGGGGGUGUCCCAACUUGAUUGCUGAGAUGCCAAGUGGAUUUGGCUAUCUUACCAGCUUAAGGCGUGUGUCGAUUGGUCCCUUCUCAGAUGACUCUGCAAUCAAAUUUGAUUGGGCUGGAUUAGCAUCUUCAUCAUCACUCCGACACGUGUCUUUAUGUGGAAUGCCUGACAUGAAAUCUCUGCCACACCAGCUUCAAUGCUUGACUACCAUCACAUCACCCUCCGUGGAUGCCAUGGAACGCCUCACAUUCAGACGUCUGCGAAUUCGUGAUUGUCCUCUAUUAACCGACAGAUGCACUCCUCAAAGCGGCUCCGAGUGGCCCAAGAUCUCUAAUAUUCCAGAGCGUAGAAUUGUCCGUAAGCAAAAUUCACCAAUAUUGGGCCACAAGUGUCAGUGAAGCAGCAAGCAGUGAUAAUAUUAUGUGCUCAAGGCAAAGUCAGCCUGGAACCUCUAAAGCAUCUUAUUGCACUUUUCACAUUCUCCAACUGCAACAUUAGGCUGUGGUUUCCAAUCAUUUUUGAAGAAAGAUGAGGAGGUAUUUGCACUAAAUUUGUUCAGGAAGCAGAGAUUAUGCUCUUUGGACAAAGAACACCAGUCAGGUUUUGGUUCCCGUGUUGUUCUUAUGAGAAUGUCAAGAGGGAGGAGUUAUUUUCAGUUAUCAAUCAGGUUUUGAAGAUGGAAGGUAGUUAUCUGUGAUUUUUCCCACCAGAAUGCCAUAUAUUGCUCAGAAUGUGGAAAUGAAGCAUGCUGAAAACAGAGUGGCUUGUGCCAGACUUGUAGAAAGUAGUAUGGAUGGAGAAGAAUUAGAGGGGAGCAUGGUAGCUGUACUGGAGAGCUAUCAAGGUACAAGACUUACUUGAAAAACACUGGGCGUGCUGAUACUUUAAUUCCAGAGGUGACAACAUUUGAUGGAAAGAAGUUAGACGUUGUAGACAGCAUUUCAGAAACCACUGGGAAUAUGUAACAUUUCAGAAGACUAAUGAAGGUGGGAGAUCAAUGAUAAAUGUUUCACAUGAAGUUCUCAAACAUGGUUUCACCCAAUUAGAGAAAGCAGUGAUUUUCAAGCAAAAAUGUAUGGAUGGUGAUGUGGUAGACAAUUGUUCUCUUAAGGAGUGAAGAUCAGUCUUCUAGAAAGCACUAUGUGACAGAGUAAAUGAAGAGGAAGCAGAUAUCAUCUUGUUGGAAAAGGAACAGCAUUGUUCCCUGUCGUUUUUGUGAGAAUGUCAAAAGGAAGAAAUUACUGUCACUGUGCAGGCAAUAAACAGGGUGCUUCAUUCCACUUGAUAGAGAUACUGUGCCACAAGUCUAUUCUGCUAAGGUUAGAUGAGCAUUUUUUCAGCGUAGCCAUUGAAAUGAAGUUGGCAAUCAACUCUAACAAAUUCAAGGAAGAAGGAUACUACUUGCCGACAUUUAUAGAAUUGCGGCAUUCUUUUGCUGCUUCUUUCUGAAAAAGGUUAUCUUUUACUAGUCCAUUUUUGUCCUAAAUAUCUUAGUGUACUAGGAGAAAUCAGUCUGCUCAAAAGAAAGUCCUUCGAGGCUAAAUCCGUUGAUUAUUUGUUUUGAAUUAUAAUACAUGAAUACCAAUCAUGACUUUUUUCCUUGGGUUAUUAUGCCAAACUAGCUAAGAUUAGAACCUCACUUUGCAAGCAUAGGAAGGAUUAUCAUCUCACUGUUCUUCCGAGUUUUACAUUCUCAUGUUUUAUUAACAAUAUGCAAAUUUUUGAAUUCCAUUUUUGGUUCAUCUCGUAAUUAUUUAGAAUGAUCAUCUUUCCAUUACUAGUUGCUAACAGUGUUCUUUGUUCAUUGUCAACUCUUUAUCCAAUAUCUGUAUCAAUAUUGAAGACAAUCAGUGUCUAAUGGGUUUUGAUGGAACAUGUAGGAAGCAGCAGCUUUCGAGUUAAAGUGUAUGAAUGUUGUCUCGAUGAAUUACAGGUUUACUUUGUUUCUCUCAAAGUUGGCAUUUCUUUCACACACAUAUGGAAGUGCCCGACCUUUCAUAUAUUUUGGAGGUUUCUUCUGAUUUGAUUUGCUUGAGACAAAGGGAAGCAUAUGAAGGAGAUCUUGGUUCCAGUUUAAGCUGGCAUGGCUGAGACCUGUAGCCAAUUUGGUUGAUCUUGGUUCCAGUUUAAGCUGUCUGGAUUGCUCUUUGUCAAUCUCGUGAAUGUGGAUCUCAUAUCAAUGGAAGCAUUGAAAGUAUGAAGAUGAGAAAGCAAGAAUACUGGUAGCUAGCUGUUGGAUUGUAGGCAUGUAAAAAGUCUUAACUAUACUAAAAUUGUCACCCAGAUAGCUGGCUAGAAUGCAUAUAUUACUCUAGCUUGUUCUAUAAAGAGAUAUGAUUUGAGGUUUUAA